rnacentral:rRNA from 1 species
UACAGAGGGUGCGAGCGUUAAUCGGAAUUACUGGGCGUAAAGCGUGCGCAGGCGGCGCGUUAAGACAGGUGUGAAAGCCCCGAGCUUAACUUGGGAAUUGCGCUUGUGACUGGCGUGCUGGAGUGUGGCAGAGGGAGGUGGGAUUCCACGUGUAGCAGUGAAAUGCGUAGAGAUGUGGAGGAACACCGAUGGCGAAGGCAGCCUCCUGGGCCAGCACUGACGCUCAUGCACGAAAGCGUGGGGAGCAAACAGG